rnacentral:rRNA from 1 species
UCCUACGGGAGGCAGCAGUGGGGAAUUUCCGCAAUGGGCGAAAGCCUGACGGAGCAAUACCGCGUGAGGGAUGACGGCCUAUGGGUUGUAAACCUCUUUUUUCAGGGAGGAAUCAAUGACGUGUACCUGAAGAAUAAGCAUCGGCUAACUCCGUACCAGCAGCCGCGGUAA